CAGGGUUUGAUCCUGGCUCAGAUUGAACGCUGGCGGCAGGCCUAACACAUGCAAGUCGAGCGGAUGAAGGGAGCUUGCUCCUGGAUUCAGCGGCGGACGGGUGAGUAAUGCCUAGGAAUCUGCCUGGUAGUGGGGGAUAACGUCCGGAAACGGGCGCUAAUACCGCAUACGUCCUGAGGGAGAAAGUGGGGGAUCUUCGGACCUCACGCUAUCAGAUGAGCCUAGGUCGGAUUAGCUAGUUGGUGGGGUAAAGGCCUACCAAGGCGACGAUCCGUAACUGGUCUGAGAGGAUGAUCAGUCACACUGGAACUGAGACACGGUCCAGACUCCUACGGGAGGCAGCAGUGGGGAAUAUUGGACAAUGGGCGAAAGCCUGAUCCAGCCAU
rnacentral:rRNA from 1 species